AUUCAGGGGUCGCAACGCUACUCUGUUUACCAGGUCAGGUCCGGAAGGAAGCAGCCAGAGCAGACGACGUGUGUGCCGGGAUGUAGCUGGCAGGG
rnacentral:SRP_RNA from 1 species